AUCGAACGCUGGCGGCAGGCCUAACACAUGCAAGUCGAGCGAGCGGCGGACGGGUGAGUAAUGUCUAGGAAACUGUCUGAGGAGGGGGCUAACUACUGGAAACGGUAGCUAAUACCGCAUACCAUCAGAUGUGCCCAGAUGGGAUUAGCUAGUAGGUGGGGUAACGGCUCACCUAGGCGACGAUCCCUAGCUGGUCUGAGAGGAUGACCAGCCACACUGGAACGGAGACACGGUCCAGAGGCCUACGGGAGGCAGCAGGGGGGAAUAUUGCGCAAUGGACGAAAGCCUGAUGCAGCCAUGCCGCGGGUGUGAAGAAGGCCUUCGGGUUGUAAAGCACUUUCAGCGGGGAGGCGUUACCCACAGAGGAAGCACCGGCUAACUCCGUGCCAGCAGCCGCGGUAAUAC
rnacentral:rRNA from 1 species